UAGAUUUUAAUGAGGUAUUUUGAAAGUACCUGAGAAGGUUGAUCCUUUAGUAAUGC
rnacentral:tRNA from 1 species